rnacentral:misc_RNA from 1 species
UUCAGCGAGCUCACGCUCACUAUCGGAUCGUUUUAGAAACAUCAGUGGCCAACAGAUCGCCAGAUCGUUGAGCUGCAUUGGCGGGAUUUCGCCGUCUUCGUUUCUCUUUCUUCGCGGACGAACACGCGCUGGGCCUGCAUCAUGCAGGAUCCCACGGUCCCUGACGGGAUAUGCGUUAGGGGCUUGUAGCUCAGUUGGUUAGAGCGCGCGCUUGAUAAGCGUGAGGUCGGAAGUUCAAGUCUUCCCAGGCCCACCACUUUCAUCGAGUGAGCAUUCGUCUUCUGGUUACGGGGCCAUAGCUCAGCUGGGAGAGCGCGUGCUUUGCAAGCAUGAGGUCGUCGGUUCGAUCCCGUCUGGCUCCACCAGAUGGUUUGAUCACCGAGAUCUUGCACCGUCGUCCGCGAAACAUCACUUCGCAUCCUGCUAGUCUGGAUAGACAGCAAGAUGCGUGUUUUCUGACAUCGUAAAGAGGAGAUCGAUCCGAGUUGGGUCGUGCAGCAGAUUGUUGCGCGAAUCCUUCAUUAUCUCCGGAUCAUUUUCGGCGCUCGCUUUCAGCCGUGAGGUUGAAUGCGAGUUGUAAAAUGAUCCUUUUAGCGAAGCUUGACCGCCUCGCUAUCGGAACGAUCUUACGAAGCAAGCUGGUCUUUCUAGUCAAUGUCCGGCUGCACGUAGCAUUCAUCGAGGGUGCGCGCCGUGAGGCAAUCGUGCAGACAACAUUCUGCCGAGUGUGUGGACAUUGAUAAUGAGAGCAAUCAAGUGCCUUAAGGGUGUUCGGUGGAUGCCUUGGCGCUGAGAGGCGAUGAAGGACGUGCUACGCUGCGAUAAGCCGUGGGGAGCUGCGAA